rnacentral:rRNA from 1 species
UACAGAGGGUGCGAGCGUUGUCCGGAAUUACUGGGCGUAAAGCGUGCGUAGGUGGUUCGUUAAGUCUGUCGUGAAAGCCCCGGGCUCAACCUGGGAAUGGCGAUGGAUACUGGCGGGCUAGAGUGCGGUAGAGGAGAGUGGAAUUCCCGGUGUAGCAGUGAAAUGCGUAGAGAUCGGGAGGAACAUCAGUUGCGAAGGCGGCUCUCUGGACCAGCACUGACACUGAGGCACGAAAGCGUGGGGAGCAAACAGG